rnacentral:miRNA from 1 species
UUCCUUCUAGUGGGUGAGGUACAUGUACCUCACCAACUGGAAGGAUUUCCUUCUAGUGGGUGAGGUACAUGUACCUCACCAACUGGAAGGAA